GUAGGUGAACCUGCGGAAGGAUCAUUAGAGAUUGGCUUCGGCCUUUUUAUAAUCCACACACACCGUGAACCGUUCCCUCGUCUUUCGGGACGUCGGACUACCAACCAAACAUUGUCUACCGAACGUAAACGUCUAAACGAAACAAAACUUUCAACAACGGAUCUCUUGGCUCUC
rnacentral:misc_RNA from 1 species